ACACCAUAGAGGUCCAUUUAGGACUGGGUAACACCAUAGGGUCUAGGAGUCCAUUUAGGACUGGGUAACACCAUAGGGUCUAGGAGUCCAUUUAGGACUGGGUAACACCAUAGGGUCUAGGAGUCCAUUUAGGACUGGGUAACACCAUAGGGUCUAGGAGUCCAUUUAGG